AACUCUCCACCACUUAGUAUGCCAUAUUGAAAGACAAGAAUCACAGCAAACUCUCACACACGGUAGCACAUAUAUAUCCCUUGAUGUUGUCACAAGAACUAACACUCAUAACAACGGCCUUAGGAUAUUAAUCAAACUAAGAAAGGUGAGAAAAUACAAACCUUUUUUUUGUAACACAGAAAAUACAAACCUUUCCCUCCAAAUUUCUCUUGUUGAUCUUUAACCUUCUCCUAAAGUUUCUUCAACCUCAUAUUAACUCUUAAGUCUCUUUUCCUGGUGCUCUUAUGAGUGCACAAGCUGAUCACUCCUUGAAUGAGAUCGAUCUUAUGUGGCAGAUUCCUUAUUGGUCUUGGUAUUGGCGUGAACACAGUUUUUGUACCUAUUAUGUUCCUAUUCAACUUCAUUUAUACUAUUUGGCUUUGUUGUAAGAUAGUAUAUGAAGAAUAUUUCUUAACAUCAAUUAAUCUUACGCCCAAUAUGAUAAGUUAAUUAUGUCCUUAACAUUCUUUUGACUAACAUAUUUCGUAUGUUAUAUGACAGUCUUUCCCUUGAACUUUUGAGAAGUGUCGUCAUUGCAGCAUCCAACAAGAAAGUAAGUCUUUAGAAACUCUGUUACGCCAAUACCAUAAAAAUGCACACAGUAUAAUAAGAACAUGAAACAAAUCUACCUACUGCAAGAAUUCAAUUCACAAUAAUCAGCAUUAAAAUAUUCUACCUACGAACUUGACUCCAUAAAACCCAAACAAACACACUGAAACUUGAAUUAGUGACUGAAGACUGCGUUAGUUUCCACAAACACUAAUAUACUCUUUGGUUUCUCCGUAACUCCUCUUUUUUUUAUUUGGGCUUAAGCUAAACUAGGAUUAUUGAUAUGAGAUUCUGUCAUUGGGCUGGACUAAAAACAAACUAAGGCCUCUUAAGCUUGUAUCUUUUAUUUUCUUCAUGUCUUUAAUAUGAAAAAAUCAGUUAAACAAAAGAUUGAUUUAUUAUAUUGAAAAAAUAUAAGAAGUUAAAAUCAUUUUUGGCAGCAUUCUUCCAAACUCAAAUCAUGAAAUCUAUGAAAUAAGAACCAACUGUACUUUGUCGAUUCUUUAAUUAAAAUUACAUUUUUGUUAAUUUAUUGGUUUAAUUUAAAUAUCGGAAAACUGUAACCACUGGUCUCCAUCAAUAAAAGGCGUGUUAAUGAGUUGAGCAACUUCAGUCUCGUUAAGCUUCUGAACAUACUGUGCCCUCUCCCAAAUAUUAGACCAUGAUUAAUGGGGUUAUUAGAAAUGAGAUUUUUACCCUGGACCCGAACAAUUAUACUCUCCAUAAAAUAGUGUCCUCAGUGCCGUGCGAACGUUUUCAGGGGCCUAAGGCAAUUUUUUUCUUUCUACAACAUUUAAGGCAUUUUUUUCCUCAGAUGAUCUCUUCAUAUAAGAUUUCGGUAUGUUCACAGAAAACUAAAAUGGUAAAUAUAAUGACUAUGCUUAUAAUUGAAAUCCAAAAAAAAGAAUCCAAACUAAAAUCUAGAAAAAAAGAUAUAUACAAUCAAACUCUUUAUGUUUUUUUGACCAAAAAAACUCUUUAUGUACAGUAUGUAUGUAAACAUAUAUAACACUUUCUAUCUCUCUCUAUUCUCUGCCAUGAAACCCAUGAGGUGGAGCACAGCCCACAAACCAAAUGAGCUACACGAUCAGGCCAUAAACAUAUAUACCACUAACUAAUGCAUUUUAUAUAUAAAAUGGGGCCCUAAAUAUUAACUAAAAAUUAUGGGGCCUAAGGCCAUUGCCUUUCUCGACAAGGGGUAAGCACGGCUCUGAUUUGUCCUAGACACAAAACAUAAACAUAUUUCUGAUUAUUACUACUAACCUACCUCUUUAAUAUAAACAAAAAUAUAUGGAAAGGUUUUUUUUUGUAGUGUUUGAUAUGCUUACGCAGGGCUGGCUUAAGGUAUGGGGCAGAGGGGCGUGGGCCCUAGGGCCCAAACACUUUUUGAAAAAAAUAAUGUUAAAAAGAAGAUACUUUGAGCCGACCCUGUGCUUACGCGUCCCUAGAUGGAUCGUUGAAGUUGUUCCAGCCUUCUGGCGCGAUAACAUCGGCCAUGAAAAGUGGAAACGAAGAUGACACGUGAGUAGGGCCUCCAUGCCAUGAAACCACUUUUUCACUGCCACACAAUUAAGUAUAUAUGUAUUUACUUUAGGUAUAGUAUUUUUAUUAGACCUUAAUAAUUAGAUAUGGUUGUUAUAAAAACACUCGCAAAAAUAUAUGGUUACGUACAUGCCGGAGUUUAUCCAAAUGACGUUCCUUUUCUGACUAAAGUUUUUGAUUCCGUCCACGGCUGAUUGCACCGUCGUGAAAUUGCAGCAGCCGCUCUUAUCCACGCAGCGAUAGGAAGUCGUGUCGGUGUCCCGUGUCCGGUGGAGGUAUAUUUUUGGGGAAAUCGUCGCAUAUUGAAACUUUCUUUUUACUCUAAGAUGGUUUGUGACAGUAAUGAUGAUAAUGGUGGUUGCUGCAGGAUGUUAAACCUGAAUAUGAUACUGCUUUAAUACCAUGUAAAAUAUCAAAAGGAUUGUGUAUAAAGACUCUAGGAUGUGUGCUAAACAGAGUUUUGGAUGCUAAAAUGGCUAUGAUGGCAAUGACUAUGGAUAAAGUU